rnacentral:rRNA from 1 species
UGCAAGUCGAGCGGAAACGAUGGAGCUUGCUCCAGGCGUCGAGCGGCGGACGGGUUGAGUAAUGCAUAGGAAUCUGCCCGGUAGUGGGGGAUAACCUGGGGAAACCCAGGCUAAUACCGCAUACGUCCUACGGGAGAAAGCAGGGGAUCUUCGGACCUUGCGCUAUCGGAUGAGCCUAUGUCGGAUUAGCUUGUUGGUGAGGUAAUGGCUCACCAAGGCGACGAUCCGUAGCUGGUCUGAGAGGAUGAUCAGCCACAUCGGGACUGAGACACGGCCCGAACUCCUACGGGAGGCAGCAGUGGGGAAUAUUGGACAAUGGGCGAAAGCCUGAUCCAGCCAUGCCGCGUGUGUGAAGAAGGCUUUCGGGUUGUAAAGCACUUUCAGUGAGGAAGAAGGCCUUGGGGCUAAUACCCCCGAGGAAGGACAUCACUCACAGAAGAAGCACCGGCUAACUCCGUGCCAGCAGCCGCGGUAAUACGGAGGGUGCGAGCGUUAAUCGGAAUUACUGGGCGUAAAGCGCGCGUAGGCGGCGUGAUAAGCCGGUUGUGAAAGCCCCGGGCUCAACCUGGGAACGGCAUCCGGAACUGUCAGGCUAGAGUGCAGGAGAGGAAGGUAGAAUUCCCGGUGUAGCGGUGAAAUGCGUAGAGAUCGGGAGGAAUACCAGUGGCGAAGGCGGCCUUCUGGACUGACACUGACGCUGAGGUGCGAAAGCGUGGGUAGCAAACAGGAUUAGAUACCCUGGUAGUCCACGCCGUAAACGAUGUCGACUAGCCGUUGGGGUCCUUGAGACCUUUGUGGCGCAGUUAACGCGAUAAGUCGACCGCCUGGGGAGUACGGCCGCAAGGUUAAAACUCAAAUGAAUUGACGGGGGCCCGCACAAGCGGUGGAGCAUGUGGUUUAAUUCGAUGCAACGCGAAGAACCUUACCUACCCUUGACAUCGUGCGAACUUGGUAGAGAUACCUUGGUGCCUUCGGGAACGCACAGACAGGUGCUGCAUGGCUGUCGUCAGCUCGUGUUGUGAAAUGUUGGGUUAAGUCCCGUAACGAGCGCAACCCUUGUCCCUAUUUGCCAGCGAUUCGGUCGGGAACUCUAGGGAGACUGCCGGUGACAAACCGGAGGAAGGUGGGGACGACGUCAAGUCAUCAUGGCCCUUACGGGUAGGGCUACACACGUGCUACAAUGGCCGGUACAAAGGGUUGCGAAGCCGCGAGGUGGAGCUAAUCCCGGAAAGCCGGUCUCAGUCCGGAUCGGAGUCUGCAACUCGACUCCGUGAAGUCGGAAUCGCUAGUAAUCGUGAAUCAGAAUGUCACGGUGAAUACGUUCCCGGGCCUUGUACAC